UACGGAGGGAGCUAGCGUUGUUCGGAAUUACUGGGCGUAAAGCGCACGUAGGCGGCUUUGUAAGUAAGAGGUGAAAGCCCAGAGCUCAACUCUGGAAUAGCCUUUCAAACUGCAUCGCUUGAAUCCAGGAGAGGUGAGUGGAAUUCCGAGUGUAGAGGUGAAAUUCGUAGAUAUUCGGAAGAACACCAGUGGCGAAGGCGGCUCACUGGACUGGUAUUGACGCUGAGGUGCGAAAGCGUGGGGAGCAAACAGG
rnacentral:rRNA from 1 species